rnacentral:rRNA from 1 species
AUUGAACGCUGGCGGCAGGCCUAACACAUGCAAGUCGAGCGGAGCGGCGGACGGGUGAGUAAUGCCUAGGAAUCUGCCUGGUAGUGGGGGAGAACGUCCGGAAACGGGCGAUAAUACCGAAUCCUAACAGAAGAGCCUAGGUCGGAUGAGCUAGUUGGUGGGGUAAAGGCCUACCAAGGCGACGAUCCGUAACUGGUCUGGGAGGAUGAUCAGGCACACUGGAACUGAGACACGGUCCAGACGCCUACGUGAGGCAGCAGUGGGGAAUAUGGGACAAUGGGCGAAAGCCUGAUCCAUCCAUGCCGCGUGUGUGAAGAAGGUCUUCGGAUUGUAAAGCACUUUAAGUUGGGAGGCGUUACCAACAGAAUAAGCACCGGCUAACUUCGUGCCAGCAGCCGCGGUAAUUC